AUGUCCAACGGCGAGCGGCGCCCCUGGAUCGGCAUGAACGCCCACCACCUGUUCGACCAAAGGUUUCAGAGCAGCCACCGCCCCUUGGUACAUCCAUCCAGGUCUCCUCUUGUGGAUCUAAAAAAGGAAGCGAUCAGUGUCUCAAAGUUUAUUGAGAAUCUCAAGAUUGUGAAGAUUGAUAGGCAGGCUAACAAGGUGGUGCAUGAGAUUGCUAAAUUUAGUUUUGAUAGCAGGUCCGAUGAUGUGCUUUGUAAUAGUGUUUCACCCUGCGUGGGUAACUAUGUUAUGAACGAUUGUAAGAAUCUUGUUAAUUAG
rnacentral:rRNA from 1 species